rnacentral:lncRNA from 1 species
ACACAACUCUGCUGCCAAGUGAAAAGUGUUACAAUUGAUACAAUGAUACAAUAGAGCUGAAUAGUAACACAAAUCACCGGUAUCACAUUAUCAUGGCCAGAUUCUAAUCAAAUGCCUUUUAAUUGAAGGAGAUUCUUUAUUUUUCAACAAAUAUGGCACGUUUAUCCUGUUGCUGUACAUAGUGAGAUUAUUACUCUGUUUUAUUUUUAAUACUAUGGUAACAAGACUUAUUACUAAGCUGUUGCUAUUUCCCCUCAAUAUUUCUCAGAGGGUUAUAGCCUGUUUUGAAGCAUAUUCACUACAUUGUUGUGUGUAAAUUAAUGAAAUUACCAGUCAUGCAUUAUAUUUGUUGAUUAUAUCCCGAUCAAUCUUAGUGAUAACUUAUUUGUGUAAAUUAUAAUUAUCAUACAUUUACCCAUGCUUUUUUCUUAUUCAUUUCAGGCAUGUCUAGCAUUUCAUCUAUGCUCUGAUUCGAUUCUAUGCUCUGACCCCCCAGGUCAACAACACAAACAGGCAACAGUUCCAUUUCCAGCUAGAAGCUUACAGAAUGCAUAUGAAAAUAAAAACUGUUGAAUUCUGCUAACCAGGGCCUCCUUUCCAGUUCUAACGUCAAAGGAAGGUAGAUACUAUCUGCUAGCUAAGUAGUAGUAGUAGUAUUAGUAGUGGUAGUAGUAGUAGUAUUAGUAGUGGUAGUAGUAGUAGUAGUAGUGUUAGUAGUAGUGGUAGUGGUAGUAGUGUUAGUAGUAGUGGUAGUGGUAGUAGUUGUAUUAAUGGUAGUAGUUGUAUUAGUGGCAAUACUGGUAGUAGUAGUAGUUGUAUUAGUGGUAAUAGUGGUAGUAGUUGUAUUAGUGGCAAUACUGGUAGUAGUAGUAGUAGCAGCAUUAGUAGUAGUAGUAGUGUUAGUAGUUGUAGUUGUAUUAGUGUUAGUAAUAGUAGUUGUAUUAGUGGUAAUAGUGGUAGUAGUAGUAGUUGUAGUAGUAGUGGUAGUAGUAGUAGUAGCAGCAGUAGUAGGUGUGUAGUAGUGGUAGUAGUAGUAGUGGUAGUGGUGAUUGUUGUAGUAGUGGUAGCAUUAGUGGUAGUAGUGGUAGUAGUUGUACAUUUACAUUUACAUAUACGUCAUUUAGCAGACGCUCUUAUCCAGAGCGACUUACAAAUUGGUGCAUUCACCUUAUGAUAUCCAGUGGAACAACCACUUUACAAUAGUACAUCUAUAUCUUUUUUUGGGGGGGGGUUAGAAGGUUUACUUAAUCCUAUCCCAGGUAUUCCUUAAAGAGGUGGGGUUUCAGGUGUCUCCGGAAGGUGGUGAUUGGCUCCGCUGUCCUGGCGUCGUGAGGGAGCUUGUUCCACCAUUGGGGUGCCAGAGCAGCAAACAGUUUUGACUGGGCUGAGCGGGAACUGUAGUAGUAAUAGUAGUAGUGGUAGUAGUUGUAGUAGUAGUGGUAGUAGUAGUAGUGGGGGUGGUAGUGGUUGUGGUAGUAGUAGUAGUAGUAGUAGUAGUAGUAGUGCUAGUAGUAGCAGUGGUGGUAGUAGUAGUAGUGGUGGUAGUAGUAGUAGUAGUGGUGGUGGUAGUAGUAGUAGUAGUAGUAGUGGUGGUGGUAGUAGUAGUAAUGGUAGUAGUGGUAGUAGUAGUGGUAUUGGUAGUAGUAGUAGUAGUGGUAGUAGUAGUAGUGGUAGUAGUAGUAGUGGUGGUAGUAGUAGUGGUGGUAGUAGUGUUAGUAGUAGUGGUAGUAGUAGUGGUAGUGGUAGUGGUAGUAGUAGUAGUAGUAGUAUUAGUAGUAGUGGUAGUAGUGGUAGUAGUGGUAUUAGUAUUAGUGGUAGUAGUAGUAGUAGUAGUAGUGGUAGUAGUAGUAGUAGAAGUAGUAGUAGUAGUAGUAGUAGUGUUAGUAGAAGUAGUGGUGGUAGUAGUGUUAGUUGUAGUGGUAGUAGUAAUAGUAGUGGUGGUAGUAGUGGUAGUAGUAGUGGUAGUGGUAGUGGUAGUAGUAGUAGUAGUAGUAGUAGUGGUGGUAGUAGUAGUAGUUGUAUUAGUGUAAUAGUGGUAGUAGUAGUAGUAGUAGUUGUUGUAUUAGUGGUAAUAGAGGUUGUAUUGGUAGUAGUAGUGGUAGUAGUAAUAGUGGUGGUGGUAGUAGUAGUAUUAGUAGUGGUAGAAGUAGUAGUAGUAGUAGUAGUUGUAUUAGUGGUAAUAGUGGUAGUAGUUGUAUUAGUGGCAAUACUGGUAGUAGUAGUAGUAGCAGUAGUGUUAGUAGUUGUAGUUGUAUUAGUGGUAAUAGUAGUAGUAGUAGUAGUAGUGUUAGUAGUUGUAGUUGUAUUAGUGGUAAUAGUGGUAGAAGUAGUCGCAGUAGUAGUAGUAGUGUUAGUACUAGUAGUUGUAUUAGUGGAAAUAGUGGUAGUAGUAGUAGUUGAUUUAGUGGUAAUAGUGGUAGUAGUAGUGGCAGUGGUAAUAGUGGUAGUAGUAGUAGUAGUUAAAGUAUUAGUUGUCGUGGUAGUAGUAGUAGUAGCAGCAAUAGUAGGUGUGUAGUAGUGGUAGUAGUAGUAGUGGUAGUGGUGAUAGUAGUAGUAGUGGUAGCGGUAGUGGUAGUAGUGGUAGUAGUUGUAGUAGUAGCAAUAGUAGUAGUGGUAGUAGUUGUAGUAGUACUGGUAGUAGUAGUGGUGGUGGUAGUAGUGGUUGUGGUAGUAGUAGUAGUAGUAGUAGUAGUGGUAGUAGUAGUAGUAGUAGUAGUAGUAGUGGUAGUAGGAAUAAUCGUGGUGGUAGAAGUAAUGGUGGUGGUAGUGGUAGUAGUAGUAAUGGUAGUAGUGGUAGUAGUCGAAGUAGUAGUAGUGGUAGUAGUAGUAGUAGUGGUGGUAGUAUUAGUAAUAGUAGUGGUAGUAGUAAUAGUGGUGGUGGUAAUAGUAGUAGUAGUGGUAGUAGUGGUAGUAGUAGUGGUGGUAGUAGUAGUAGUAGUAGUGGUGGUGGUGGUAGUAGUAGUAGUAGUGGUGGUUUUAGUAGUAGUGGUAGUAGUAGUAGUAUUAGUAUUAGUAGUGGUAGUGGUAGUUGUAGUAGUAGUGGUAGUGGUAGUGGUAGUGUUCGUAGUACUAGUAGUAGUGGUGGUGGUAGUAGUGGUGGUAGUAGUAGUAGUGGUAGUAGUAGUAGUAGUAGUAGUAUAAGUAGUGGUAGUAGCGGUACUAGCAGUAGUAGUAUUAGUAGUGGUAGUAGUAAUAGUGGUGGUGGUAGUAGUAGUAGUUGUGGUAGUAGUAGUAGUAUUAGUAGUUGUAGUAGUAGUAGUGGUGGUGGUGGUGGUAGUAGUAGUAGUGGUGGUAGUAGUAGUAGUGGUAGUAGUAGUAGUAUUAGUGUUAGUAGUGGUAGUUGUAGUAGUAGUGGUAGUAGUAGUGGUAGUGGUAGUGUCCUUAGUAGUAGUAGUGGUGGUGGUAGUAGUAGUAGUAGUGGUGGUAGUAGUAGUGGUAGUAGUAGUAGUAGUAGUAUAAGUAGUGGUAGUAGCGGUAGUAGCAGUAGUAGUAGUAUUAGUAGUGGUAGUAGUAAUAGUGGUGGUAGUAGUAGUAGUUGUCGUGGUAGUAGUGGUAGUAGUAGUAGUAUUAGUGUUAGUAGUGGUAGUGGUAGUUGUAGUAGUAGUGGUAGUAGUAGUGUCCUUAGUAGUAGUAGUGGUGGUGGUAGUAGUAGUAGUAGUGGUGGUAGUAGUAGUGGUAGUAGUAGUAGUAGUAGUAUAAGUAGUGGUAGUAGCGGUAGUAGCAGUAGUAGUAGUAAUAGUGGUGGUGGUAGUAGUAGUAGUUGUGGUAGUAGUGGUGGUAGUAGUAGUAGUAAUGGUAGUAGUGGUAGUAGUAGUAGUAGUAGUAGUAGUAUUAGUAGUGGUAGUAGUAGUAGUGGUAGUAGUAGUAGUAGUUGUAUUAGUGGUAAUAGUGGUAGUAGUUGUAUUAGUGGCAAUACUGGUGGUAGUAGUAUUAGUAGCAGUAUUAUUAUUAUUAGUAGUGUUAGUAGUUGUUGUUGUAUUAUUGGUAAUAGUGAUAGUAGUAGCAGUAGUAGUAGCGGUAGUAGGUGUAGUGUUGGUACUAGUAGUUGUAUUAGUUGAAAUAGUGGUAGUAGUAGUAGUUGAUUUAGUGGUAAUAGUGGUAGUGGUAAUAGUGGUAGUAGUAGUAGUGGUGAUAGUAGUAGUAGUGGUGGUAGUAGUAGUAGUGGUAGUAGUAGUAGUAGUAGUAGUAGUAGUAUAAGUAGUGGUAGUAGCGGUAGUAUCAGUAGUAGUAGUAUUAGUAGUGGUAGUAGUAAUAGUGGUGGUGGUAGUAGUAGUAGUUGUGGUAGUAGUAGUGGUGGUAGUAGUAGUAGUAGUGGUAGUAGUAGUAGUGUUAGUAGAAGUAGUGGUGGUAGUAGUGUUAGUUGUAGUGGUAGUAGUAAUAGUAGUGGUGGUAGUAGUGGUAGUAGUAGUGGUAGUGGUAGUGGUAGUAGUAGUAGUAGUAGUAGUAGUGGUGGUAGUAGUAGUAGUUGUAUUAGUGUAAUAGUGGUAGUAGUAGUAGUAGUAGUAGUUGUUGUAUUAGUGGUAAUAGAGGUUGUAUUGGUAGUAGUAGUGGUAGUAGUAAUAGUGGUGGUGGUAGUAGUAGUAUUAGUAGUGGUAGAAGUAGUAGUAGUAGUAGUAGUUGUAUUAGUGGUAAUAUUGGUAGUAGUUGUAUUAUUGGCAAUACUGGUAGUAGUAGUAGUAGCAGUAGUGUUAGUAGUUGUAGUUGUAUUAGUGGUAAUAGUGGUAGUAGUAGUAGUAGUGUUAGUAGUUGUAGUUGUAUUAGUGGUAAUAGUGGUAGAAGUAGUCGCAGUAGUAGUAGUAGUGUUAGUACUAGUAGUUGUAUUAGUGGAAAUAGUGGUAGUAGUAGUAGUUGAUUUAGUGGUAAUAGUGGUAGUAGUAGUGGCAGUGGUAAUAGUGGUAGUAGUAGUAGUAGUUAAAGUAUUAGUUGUCGUGGUAGUAGUAGUAGUAGCAGCAAUAGUAGGUGUGUAGUAGUGGUAGUAGUAGUAGUGGUAGUGGUGAUAGUAGUAGUAGUGGUAGCGGUAGUGGUAGUAGUGGUAGUAGUUGUAGUAGUAGCAAUAGUAGUAGUGGUAGUAGUAGUAGUAGUGGUGGUUUUAGUAGUAGUGGUAGUAGUAGUAGUAUUAGUGUUAGUAGUGGUAGUGGUAGUUGUAGUAGUAGUGGUAGUGGUAGUGGUAGUGUUCGUAGUACUAGUAGUAGUGGUGGUGGUAGUAGUGGUGGUAGUAGUAGUAGUGGUAGUAGUAGUAGUAGUAGUAGUAGUAGUAGUAGUAUAAGUAGUGGUAGUAGUGGUAGUAGCAGUAGUAGUAUUAGUAGUGGUAGUAGUAAUAGUGGUGGUGGUAGUAGUAGUAGUUGUGGUAGUAGUAGUAGUAUUAGUAGUUGUAGUAGUAGUAGUGGUGGUGGUGGUGGUAGUAGUAGUAGUGGUGGUAGUAGUAGUAGUGGUAGUAGUAGUAGUAUUAGUGUUAGUAGUGGUAGUGGUAGUUGUAGUAGUAGUGGUAGUAGUAGUGGUAGUGGUAGUGUCCUUAGUAGUAGUAGUGGUGGUGGUAGUAGUAGUAGUAGUGGUGGUAGUAGUAGUGGUAGUAGUAGUAGUAGUAGUAUAAGUAGUGGUAGUAGCGGUAGUAGCAGUAGUAGUAGUAUUAGUAGUGGUAGUAGUAAUAGUGGUGGUAGUAGUAAUAGUUGUCGUGGUAGUAGUGGUAGUAGUAGUAGUAUUAGUGUUAGUAGUGGUAGUGGUAGUUGUAGUAGUAGUGGUAGUAGUAGUGUCCUUAGUAGUAGUAGUGGUGGUGGUAGUAGUAGUAGUGGUGGUAGUAGUAGUGGUAGUAGUAGUAGUAGUAGUAUAAGUAGUGGUAGUAGCGGUAGUAGCAGUAGUAGUAGUAAUAGUGGUGGUGGUAGUAGUAGUAGUUGUGGUAGUAGUGGUGGUAGUAGUAGUAGUAAUGGUAGUAGUGGUAGUAGUAGUAGUAGUAGUAGUAGUAGUAGUAGUAGUAGUAGUAGUAGUGGUAGUAGUAGUAGUAGUUGUAUUAGUGGUAAUAGUGGAAGUAGUUGUAUUAGUGGCAAUACUGGUGGUAGUAGUAGUAGUAGCAGUAUUAUUAUUAUUAGUAGUGUUAGUAGUUGUUGUUGUAUUAGUGGUAAUAGUGAUAGUAGUAGCAGUAGUAGUAGCGGUAGUAGGUGUAGUGUUAGUACUAGUAGUUGUAUUAUUGGUAAUAGUGGUAGUAGUAGUAGUGGUAGUAGUAGUUAAAGUAGUAGUUGUAGUGGUAGUAGUUGUAGUAGUAGUAGUAGUAGCAGCAGUAGUAGGUGUGUAGUAGUGGUAGUAGUAGUGGUAGUAGUAGUAGUGGUGAUAGUAGUAGUAGUGGUAGCGGUACUGGUAGUAGUGGUAGUAGUAGUAGUAAUAGUAGUAGUGGUAGUAGUUGUAGUAGUACUGGUAGUAGUAGUAGUGGUGGUGGUAGUAGUAGUAGUGGUAGUAAUGGUAGUAGUCGAAGUAGUAGUAGUUGUAGUAGUGGUAGUGGUGGUAGUAGUGGUAGUAGUAGUAUUGGUAGUAAUUGUAGUGGUAGUAGUAGUAGUGGUAGUAGUAAUCGUAGUAGUUGUAGUGGUAGUAGUUGUAGUGGUAGUAGUUGUAGUAGUAGUAGUAGUGGUAGUGGUAGUAGUAGUAGUGGUACUAGUAAUAGUAGUAGUUGUAGUGGUAGUAGUAGUAGUAGUUGUAGUAGUAGUAGUGGUAGUGGUACUAGUAAUAGUAGUAAUUGUAGUGGUAGUAGUAGUAGUGGUAGUAGUAAUCGUAGUAGUUGUAGUGGUAGUAGUUGUAGUGGUAGUAGUUGUAGUAGUAGUAGUGGUAGUGGUAGUAGUAGUAGUGGUACUAGUAAUAGUAGUAGUUGUAGUAUAGUAGUGGUAGUGGUAGUAGUAGUAGUGGUAGUAGUAGUAGUAGUGGUAGUGGUAGUAGUAGUAGUAGUAGUUGUAGUAGUAGUGGUAGUGGUAGUAGUAGUAGUGGUAGUAGUAGUGUGUUUGUGUACCUACAUUGUUGGUUGUUUCUGUGUUUUUUAAUAAACUUUUAGCAUAACACCCCAGCAGUGGGCCUCUGCUCUCGCUGCUCCUUCCAGCUCUGCUUCUGGACCCGGCUGACUGCCAGUGUUCACUGGCAUUGUUAGCUAAUAUGACAGCAGAGUGCUUGCAGGACUCACUGGAGUGUAGCAGAGAGAGAGGGGGGGAGAGACAGAGAGAGGGCUAGAGAGUUUGCUAGUGAGAGAGAGAGAAAGGGAAGGAAAGAGAGAGAGAGCAGGCAGGCAGGCAGUGGUAGGGGCGGAAGGAGAGAAGAGUAGCAGAACACACACACACACACACACACACACACACACACACACACACACACACACACACACACACACACACACACACACACACACACACACACACACACACACACACACACACACACACACACACACACACACACACAGUAGAGAAUGUUUACAGGGGAAAUGCAACCCAGAACAACUGAGCAGCACCAAUCCUCUCCAUCUCUCCUCCAUCGCUCCUCUCCUCCAUCUAUCCAUCUCUCAGUGAACUGAGUUAGGAAGGCUUGUACUUUGUAGUGACUGGGUGUAUUGAUACUGAGGUAGGAAGGCUUGUACUUUGUAGUGACUGGGUGUAUUGACACUGAGGUAGGAAGGCUUGUAUCUUUGUUGUGACUGGGUGUAUUGAUACUGAGGUAUGAAGGCUUGUAGUGACUGGGUGUAUUGAUACUGAGGUAGGAAGGCUUGUAGUGACUGGGUGUAUUGAUACUGAGUUAGGAAGGCUUGUAGUGACUGGGUGUAUUGAUACUGAGGUAGGAAGGCUUGUUGUGACUGGGUGUAUUGAUACUGAGUUAGGAAGGCUUGUAGUAACUGGGUGUAUUGAUACUGAGUUAGGAAGGCUUGUAGUGACUGGGUGUAUUGAUACUGAGGUAGGAAGGCUUGUAUAUUUGUAGUGACUGGGUGUAUUGAUACUGAGGUAGGAAGGCUUGUAGUGACUGGGUGUAUUGAUACUGAGGUAGGAAGGCUUGUAGUGACUGGGUGUAUUGAUACUGAGGUAGGAAGGCUUGUAGUGACUGGGUGUAUUGAUACUGAGUUAGGAAGGCUUGUAGUGACUGGGUGUAUUGACAUUGAGUUAGGAAGGCUUGUAUAUUUGUAGUGACUGGGUGUAUUUAUACACCAUCCAAAGUGUAAUUAAUAACUUCAGCAUGCUCAAAGGGUCUGCUUUUUUUCCUAUAUCCAUCUACCAAUAGGUGCCCUUCUUUGCGAGUGAUUGGAAAACCUCCCUUGUCUUUGUCGUUGAAUCUGUGCUUGAAAUGUACUAGUUGAUUGAGGGACCUUACAGAUAAUUUUAUGUGUGGGGUACAGCGAGGGCGUAGUUAUAAAAUAAUAAUGUUAACCACUAUUAUUGAACACGGAAUGAGUCCAUGCAACUUAUUAUGCAAUUUGUUAUGUACAUUUUGACUCCUAAACAUAUUGAGGCUUGCCUUAACAAAGGGCUUGAAUACUUAUUGACUCAAGACAUUUAAGGAUUUAAUUUUUAUUCAUAAAAACAAUGUUCUAUAAACAAAAUUCCACUUUGACAUUUUGGGGUAUUAAACAUUUAUUAAAUUGAUAUUUUGCAUCACUGAUCUACACUUAAUUCAGGC